rnacentral:piRNA from 1 species
UGACUACAACUGGAAGACUAUAACUAA